rnacentral:rRNA from 1 species
GAUGAACGCUGGCGGCGUGCCUAAUACAUGCAAGUCGAGCGAACAGACGAGGAGCUUGCUCCUCUGACGUUAGCGGCGGACGGGUGAGUAACACGUGGAUAACCUACCUAUAAGACUGGGAUAACUUCGGGAAACCGGAGCUAAUACCGGAUAAUAUAUUGAACCGCAUGGUUCAAUAGUGAAAGACGGUUUUGCUGUCACUUAUAGAUGGAUCCGCGCCGCAUUAGCUAGUUGGUAAGGUAACGGCUUACCAAGGCAACGAUGCGUAGCCGACCUGAGAGGGGGGUCGGCCACACUGGAACUAAGACACGGUCAAGACUCCUACGGGAGGCAGCAGUAGGGAAUCUUCCGCAAUGGGCGAAAGCCUGACGGAGCAACGCCGCGUGAGAGAUGAAGGUCUUCGGAUCGUAAAACUCUGUUAUUAGGGAAGAACAAAUGUGUAAGUAACUAUGCACGUCUUGACGGUACCUAAUCAGAAAGCCACGGCUAACUACGUG